CUUUCUCCCUCUCUCUUUCUCCCUCUCCCUCUCCCUCUCCCUCCCUCUCCCUCCCUCUUGUAGGAUGAUAGCCCAAAGAAAGGAUGAUUGAAUCAUGGUUUGUCAGAGUUUAAGAUGUUAUCCUCUGGCAAAGCUUCACCUGGGACUGGCUGAGAAUAGCAGAGAAGGAUUUUAGGGAGACUGAGUGCACUUAAGAACCCUGUUAGCUAAAUUUACCUUAAUCUGGCUUUUAGAAACCCAAAACUUGGUGGCAGUUUAUGUUUGUAUUCUGCAUAAGUAAAAGCAGGCAGGAGUCCCUGAGCUGUCCAUGUAGCAAAGGAGGUUGACUGUUGCUUCAGGUGUGUUUUCCUGGAAAGAAAACAUAAGUAGAGGAAAGGAAGGAGAUCAAAGACCACUGCUGUGGAAAUGCUGGAGAAAUUGGUUGGAAGGUGAGGGAAGCAUGUUACAGAGCACCAGUAGGAAAGAAAUGAAAGAAACUGUGACAGGAGGUUCCAACAACUGGAUGAUUGACUGUGUUGAAGAAAAAUAGCAGAAUAAAUUGCAUAAAGUAUUAAUAUUCAGCUUGGACCUGGGAUAUGUUUUAAAUUUAUGAAAGAAACUUGUAGAGAUGAGAAACAAAAGGUGCACAGGAGGAUGAAAAAGAGGGGGCAGCCUCCAUGCUGGGGUUUGUGAACAGUGUAUUCUGGGUUAUUAAAUAUGAAAGUGAAGAGAAUGGCAAGAAAUCUUAUAUAUUUUCCUGAGAAAAAGGCUCAUCUUUUGACACAAUGUCUGUGUGUGUAUCUGCUUGACAGUACUAUUCUAAAAAUGGAACUUGAGCAAUGAAACUGAUUGUAGUAUAUUUACCUUACAAGACAAAUCCCAGCAAAUUUAUGCAAAAAACCCAUGAGUGGGAAGUGAAGGAACCCUCUGGAAUAUGUCCCAACGCAGGGCAGGUCUGCAGUGUGAGCUGAGCUCUCAGAAUCCCCACGACAGCGUCUCAUGCCAGGAGUGAACACCAGAAUGAUGCUGGUGGGGUAGGCAGGCUGGCACAUCCUGGGCCCUAUCUGACAUUUGAUUGAAAAUUUAUAUUUCUAAAAAAAGCUUUUUUUAUUCCUGUUUUCUCUUCUGAUAUUUUAAAAUGAGAACUUCAUGCAGUCUUAUCACUCUCAAAAGAAAUCACUGAACAAAGCUAAAUACAACUAUUAGGUUAUACCAGUUGCUGAAGAUGGGAAAGAGUAACUCUUGUACUUUUGUGCAAAGACUGGGGAUUACAGAAGGGGAAAUUGGGGGAUGUAGUCUGUUCUAUUGUUGAUGUAAAUGUUCUGGAGGAAAACAGAUGAGAAACUUGUGUCUGCCAAACCAGAAAAGAGAGGACAGACCACAGGAGGCUACAGAUGGCUACAAAAUAUGGAAUAUUUUGCUGGCAUUUCACUGAUUUUUUUGCAGGAUAAAACUAUGUGGAGAGCAAGCUGAAAGAAUAGUUGAAGAUGAGAAUAAAAGAGUGAAAGGAAAUGUUGAAUUUCAACAUGUCCUUUCCAGUGGCUGAAAACAAUACUCAACAAGAUGCAAUGACACUACAGAAUAAAUGUUAAUGGUGGAAAACAAAAAAGAAAAAAAACAGGGGGGGACUUUCCUUCAACUCAAUAGCAGAAAUGAAAAUUUGAGGUUAAGGGUAGGGCUUGGAUUGUUCAGGGCAGACUGUGCAAUGCCUGAGUGAUUGUUACUGAAGCAUAAAAAGGAUCAAUAACUUUAAGAAUCCAGUGGCAGUAAAAUUGUGCUAGAGCCUUCAAAACAGGAGCCAUGGAUGUUAAUAAAUGAGAGUUCACAGGGUAACAAGUCAACUGGCAGAUGAUGAUAUUUGGGGAAGGGAAGUGUUACCGAUAUUUGUGAAAGAAAUAGGUCAGGGAACUCUGUGCUUAAGGAAGAGCAGUUAAGUGAAUGGCCUUAUUGAUGAGUGUGGCAAAACAAACUGUUCCAGGAACUAGAAGGGCCAUAACAAGGCAUGACUGCAGAAACAAAAUGUCAGCUCCCAGAGCAGUUUUGUAUCUGAAAAUGGAUCAUUCAGCUGUGGGGAAGGACAUCAUUCAUAUCGAUACGGGCAGCUGGUGAGGAGUAAGUUUUGAUGUGUUGGGCCUCACUUUUUCACACAGAGCUUUUGUAUGUAGCACAUUCCUUUGAAACAAGUGCAAAUUUACUGGGAGAGGGACAGACCAGGGCACAGACACCCAAGCAGCUUUUUUAAUGUCCCUCUAUUUGUCUGAUAGGUCAACAUUUAUAAAGAACAGUGCUGUUGUGCAGAACAUCAGUGACCACCAGUGCUCACUUCAGUUUGUACAGGGUUGUGUGAGAAAACCUGGCAUAUUUCCAAUUCAAUGCCUGAUCAAAUGGAAAUGUUGACAAGUUUUGUUACCCAGUAUUGAGUUGCCAACCUUAAUGUCCCAUUAUGCAAACACAAAUACCUUCACUAAGUUAAAGGCAUGUUCCAUUUGUUAUUCAUUUGAUAAAUAAAAGUUUGUUUUAUGGAAUAUGAAAAUUAUAUUUUCCCUCCAUAAUUUGCUGUUUUUAAGUUACUCAAGGUACUGUAGAAAAGCUCCCAUAUGAGGCUAUAUUUGAGUGCUUUGGAUUUGGUUUUGAGAGAUCUUCCCUCUUUUAUGAGGAAAAUCCCAGGCUUUUUGGUGUGAAUUAGCAUUACAGGUGUGUUGGUUUAGCUGUGUCCAUGCUGAUGAUGGUCACAGAAAUAGGAAUGGGGUUUAAUUUGGGGUGGGUUCAAUCAUUGUCCCCAAAGCAGCCAGUGUUCCCAGCCCAGAGGAGCUGUACCUCUGAGGGGUGCUGAUACAGCAAGCCUGUGUCACACCUGCCUCUUAAUAUCUACUGUCACAAUGGUUUUAUCCUCAAAGCUCAUAAUACAGAAUGAACUUUUCUAAAAGUGUGUGAAAGCUUAAGUUACAAGAGGGAAAUUUCAUCAGUUUUACUGAAAUAACAGCUACAUUAUGACUCCCUGCAUAGGCACUAUGGUAUUAGUGUGUCUCUUUAACCUUCAUUACUGGUCAUGCUUCAUUUGUUUUUGGUUAAUUAAUGCCCUUUAACAAGAUAGGAGCUAAAUUAAAGGGUAAAAAACCCAUUCUUAUACUAGGCUUAAUGUCUGCAUGACUUUUUUUCUACUGUGACUUAAACCAAAAGGCCUGUGUUUCCAUUUAGGGUCUUUUUAUUUUUCUUAGUGUCAGCUCAUAUUCCAUAUUCAAUCACAACAUAUUUUUAAGGGGUUUGAAUUUAUUUUUUUUUUUCCUCCUAAAUAUUGUUGUGUGAUACCUGUUUGCCACUUCAGGAAUAUAAUUUUGUUCUUUUUGCCUAGUAGAUUCUCUUAAAAGAAUUCUAAGUUUCUGAGUACUCUAAAGUUAUUAAUUCAAGAAGUACAAGGUUUUUAAAGGAGAUUUUCUUAGUACCUUCUGACUGUCCAGAAGACUUUCCAUCGUUUCUCAGAAGUUGUGGAUACAUUUUCUGGUUUUGGAUCUUUGAUGACUGCUGAGCAGUGGCCCUUGGAUUUCUCAUUAUCCCCUGUGUGAGGGCUGUGUGGUGGCCAAGGAACCUCACACCGUGUGUGCUCUACAGGCAGGGAUGGCCUCUCAGCUGGGCUCGUACCUCUGGAAGUGAGCUGACUUCUUGUGAGCUUUCUCCAAGGCAGGGAGAGAUCUCUGGAUUCAUAGGAUGCUGUUAUUAGUUAAUAAAAACCAGUGUCAUGUGCGGCUUAACAAUGCUAACUUAAAAAAAAAAAAAAUUAAAAAAAAGGAAUGUGCUUUGAGAGAACUCUUAAGUGAUUAUUAUGUUGAUUAGCAUUCACUGUGGCCAUAAUUUCAUUUGAUUUGUCACCUAGACAGUGUAAUGUGUAAAUACACUCACAGACUCUUCCAUAUCUGCACUUGCAAUUCCAUAGUUCCCUACACAUUCUCCCUCCCCCAUGGCAUAGUGUGAAAUUAAAUUUCAGUUUAUUUAAACUGCAUUUCUGUGGAUACAAGCAGUUAUGUUCUGAUGUGUGAGUAGAAAGGGUGGGAAAUUUGUGUUGACACCUGAAGGUGUGAUCAGCAGGCUGAAAAAGUUUAGAUCCUGCUGUGCCUGUGAAACACCAUCUGCUCUGGCAGCGACUGCCCUGAAGGAAUUGGCUCAGACUGGAAGGAGUAAAAGGCACACGAGUACAGUUUUCCUCUUGGCCAGUCGGAUCUGCAAGAAGCAGACUUCAUUCUGCUCAGGGAAAGAUGAAAAUUGGUCCAGGUUUUACUCUUUCCACUGAGAUUGUCCAUACAAAAUGGCACUGAGACAGAGAUGUAAAUAAAUCAUUAAUGAUGACAUGAUUAUUCCUAACAUGUUAGUAUAGGAUUGAGCAGUAUAUUUCAUAUCUCAGCUGGAAAACACAAACAAGCUUGUCUUGUCCCCCUGCAUGCAUCCUCCUUCUGUCCUUGUUUCAGCUAAACAAGGAGCAUUUUUGGGGCAGCAGAGUAUCCUUUUGGGGGUCACUGAAACAUUCUCACAAGCAGAUUUCAAAUGAACCUUGCAGUGAGAGGAUUUCCAUAGAUAAUUCUCACAGAUGUUUAGGCAUCUUCUAGUUUUUCUUUUUUGUUUUGGUUUGGUUUUUUGUUUAAAUAGUAAAAAAGCCGUGUAAUGUUACUUAGGAUCUUUCUAAUGACCAAAGAACUGUAAUAUGUGUGUCUGAAGUUAAAAUGAGUUAUUACCAUGAUGGAAAUGACAGCUUUUUGCUGUUAUGGCAAAGCCCAGUUGAAAGUAUUUUUAUUAUAACUAUCUGUUAGCUUAUUUUUGGCAGUUGUAGAAAGCAUUAAUUAGAAUUUUUAUCAGCAUUUCUUACUAUUUUUUACUCAGCUCAGCAGAGUAUUUGCAGGCUCCCAUAAUCCAAAAAGUCUAAUUUUUCCUUCUGUUUGGAGUCUCUGCUUGAACAGGUUGAAUUGAGAAGGGAGAGUUUGGGACAGCUUUUGUGUUAAUGACCAGUCUUUUUUUGUCACUGCUGUUACUUAAUUUAUUUUUCAUAAAUGGCAGCCUGUUCAUUAUAUACUAGAAAAUUUCAAAGAAGUUUGAAAAUAAUAAGUUUGCAAGAGAUUUUCUGUGAUGUCAAGAUGAAAAUAAGAAAAUGGGAGCAGAUGAGCAGAGGCAGAUGUGAUGCUGGCUAUUUCUUUAGGUGUGAUCUGUGUUUUCAAAUCCUCUGAGGCAGUGACUGUCCUAUCAGAGACAUCUGAAGAAUGGUCUGAUGAAGAAAACAGUACUUUAUUCUAUGUGUGAUGGAAAAGAAGUUUUUAUGAAGAUCAAAAAUCAGAACUAGGAUCUGCAAUUUCUCUGCACACUGAUGAGAUCCAUGCUCUCUAUAUUUUUUCAGAUCAGACUGUGAUUAUUUUUUUUUAUUAUUCCUUGGUGUAUAUACUGGGUUUUUAAUACAUAUUUAAAAUAAGUUGGUUGCUUACACAUGAGCAUACAGCUACUUAUAAAUGAGUCUACCUCUAGUGGAAUUGAAGAAGCAGUUUGAUAGAUAAUCUUGGUAUUUGUAUUUAGUUUACUUUAAGUAUAGUGUAAUAGCAGGAAAAUUCUGUAGCUAUUAAAAUCAGGAAUAUGCAUAACUCAUUGUUUUAUGUAAAGUCUGCAGGCGACUAAUAUUUUAAAUUUAAUUUGUGGCCGAAACUUUCAGUGGUGCAAGUAGAAAUUACGAAUUAAAAGAUAAUUCAAAAUUAAAAUAAUAACAUUUUUUUUUAAAGUUUCUUUCUCAUCUUUUCCUUCCCAAUUAAGAGUAGAAAAGGCAGCGUUGCCAAGUUAUGAGAAAAAUUCAAAGGUCUGUGCAAAGGCUGGCUGUACAAAGUUAUUCGGAGCCGGGCUGUGUGGAGGGAUGGAAGUGAAGGGUUAAGCUGAGCGUUUCUCUGGCUGCUGAGUGAAACAGGAUGCAGUGAGUGCAUUGUCAGACUGCUGGUGUGAGUGCAAACAGAUGAGGAAAUGCUGGAUCAGGCACUUCAGCAACUCGGGCUGUUUCCACGGAAACCGCUUGCGUCACACUCGCCAGCAAUUAGCUUACAGUUCUUUUAUUUUUGAUAGUGUUGCAAGCCGAGCUCGCCUCUCACAAAGGGAAACACUGGCUCCAUCUCAAUCCCUCUCCGCUUCUGGCUGCGGCCACGGAGCUCCGGAGAAUCUGCGGAGCGCUGCUUGCGAGAGUUUUUCAAUUUAUUUUCCACUUUCCUGUGCUGCUCCUGUUUCAGCUGAGCUUGGUUCUCAAAAAUGUAAAAUCACGUUUUUGGGAUCUGCAUGAAAGGGACCUUCCCCAGCAGCCAAAAUUAAGCGCUCUGCAAGUUUCACCAACAUUUUGGGUACCUUUUGCAGCAAUUAAUCUGAAGUAUUUUUGUGCGUUGCAUAUUAAAAUAUACUUUUCAAAAUUAAUGUUACCAGAGGCUUAACCUCUAAAGCAAGGGAUUUUAUUCCUAAAUCCUUUUUUCCUUUGUUGAUUAAAAUUCAGUUAUCUCCAGUGGUUACCUAGCCACUGAUAUAAACCAGUUAGUGUUGAAAGCAGUGUGUGUUUUAUCUCAGAAAAUCAUCCUAUCUUCUGUAUUUCACUUAAAAACUGUAAACAAAUUUACACUAACUGGCUUAAUAUUGAUGUAUAUUGUUAGUAUGGGUAUUGCCUCGUGGCUAGCUAUGGCUGGGUUUUUUAGGGAAAAAAUCACACAGUGACCAACAGGUUAAACCAGAAAUGUUUGUGUUUUUAUUUUUCCAUGGAUUUGUUACAUAGGCAAACACACAACUUAGAUUUUAACAAAAUGGAAUUAUAGUACAUAGCUGAAGGCCAGAGUUGUUAAAACAUCCAGGUUAAUAGAGAAUACACAUGUUCCUCAGUUUGUGGAAUGCUUAAAAAGUCAAUACAAUUUAAAUAUUUGAAUAUUUGGAUUUUCAAAUUAUUUUCGGAGAUUUUAAUCCUUAUUAAAAGCAUAAAGGAAAAAAGAGAAACCAAACAAACCACUGAACCUUCCCAGUUUUGAGCCCUCUUUUCCCCUCCCCUUCCCCCCCAAACGCUUGGAUACAAGGUUUAGAAUGAAUAUCUUCAUUUCUGCACACUUAUGAUAAAUUGCCUUGGCUGUAAUAGUCUGGCAGCCCAUAUUUUUAGGGUAUUUUUUGGACUUCAGGCCAGUGUCAUUUAUGGUUAGCUGGUCACUGGGGUUGCAUUCCAAAUGGUGAUCACUGUCUGUGUGGCCUGGGACCUUUGUACAGGUUUUUCUCCAAUUGCAUUUUACUUAAAUUAAAAAUAAAUAAAUAAAAUUGUGUGGAGGCGGCUUAAACACCAAGGGUUUAUUGGCCAUUAAAAAGGAAGAGCACCAUUUUUUUGCUGAUAUUUCAGAGUAGUUUGGCUGCCUUGCCCAGCCUCACUAAGACAUUGCAUGUGGUCACUGCUUGGUAAGGGCUGUAUUUGGUGUGUGUUUGUAUUGGCUCUGCUGCAAGAUGUGAAGUUUUACUGCUGAAGUCAGUGACUAUUGGGACUUAAAUCUGGAUGAUCAAUAAAGAGCUCGUGUAGGUGUUAACAAAGCAAGAUGUGGAAAUCACAAUUUUGAAUUUUGUCCUUCACUUUCUUUGCCCCUUGAAUUCUGGACAGUAAAAUGGAGGCUCUGGUGUCAUCAGGUCCCUGAUGGGUUCGAUUAUGUCCUGUAAUUCUGCCAAUUUUUAAGGGCAAUUCCAGCAAAUUAUGCAGUACAUCAGGCAUAUUGGAUAUUUAGUUUAGUUUAGUGUUUUAGCCCUGUAAGGCUCGCCAGUUUUCCUUCGAUGAAGGAAAUGGGAGUUACAUGAUCACAUACUUAUGUUUCUGCAUAACUUUUAUUAUUAUUUAAUUAUCCGUAUUUGAUCUUCAUUCUGGCACUUGUUAGCUGUUUUCAAAGUGCUUUUAUGAGCUGACAAUACUCAGUUGUUGUUUUGUGGAUUCUCAGCCAGACUGUUUGGUAUACAUGCAUGUUUCAAAAGAUAAGUCUGUAAUAACAGAUGGAACUGGAUGCUACUUGGCUAUUUCAUCUUUCAGGCAUUGCAGUAAGAGACUGCAUGUUUUUCAGCAAAAUCAGUGAUGUUUUGUCCAAUUCCUGGGGAAACAUUUGGUUUAUAUCUGUCAGUGUCAUGACAAGUCAACUUGUCUCAUACUGUUUGUUCUGUAACAGAACCAGAGAGGUGGGUGCUACGAAGGAAAAGGGAUUGAGGUCUCUAACAUCUCCUUCUGAUUGUGAUUUUUACAAAUCAACAAAGUGGUUUUGCAACUCUUAUGCACUAUUUUGUAGAAAAUUCCACUGAAAACAUGAAGAAAGUGACUGACAGUCUUCUGGGGGUUUUUUGGGGUUUUUUGAAGUAUGUGAAGCUAAAAUGGCCAGCUGUCAGAUCACCUUGCAUGGAAAGUUUUGUGCAUCAGGAAUGUUUCCAUGCUUUCCUGAGCAGCAUAAAGGGGUGUUUUCUUUGUUUAGUGUCCUCAUCUUAUUCCUAAAUUGCUAUCAGAAUCCCUUAAAUGUGCUUUUAAAAAUUAUUAGUAUUAGUAUCCCCAUUGUCUAAUUUAAUAACUUUCUUCCAGGUCCUUUUAUUUUCAAACUAUCUUUGCCAGGAAUAUUUUUUUGUUUCCAUGUAAUCAUUAAGACCAACAGAGGAAAUUAUGUAGAUACAUUUCUGUUCUCCAGCCCCUUUCUCCUGAUAUUAAAUCUUCCUCUUUCUUAUGAAUAGGAAGUUUCUCUACAUCUGCACCCUACAACAUCACAACUUCAGCCUGUGGUAAACCUGUCAUUGGGAUUCUUUGUUUGUUUUGGAUUUUCAGAGGUUAAAAGCUAGGGGGAAUAACAGAGGCAUGCCACAGCCAUCUCUAAGUUUUCCUGGCAUGUCACGGGUUUUCCUUUACUAUUCUGUGAUUUUCACAGUUUAUUUAUUUGCUGUGUCCAAGUAACUAACUUGUUCCCAGUUUCUUCAGUGUUAGGCUUCCUCCCAAUGUCUUUGGUGUCCACACAGAAUUUGAGUCCUAAUCCAUAGAAUGUAAAAGUUUGCUAAAAUCCUGUGGAACACAGAGCUCGUUUCUAUUUCUCAUUGCUUUAGAUUACAGCUGCAGAUGAUUUUUCUCAGUCUUCAUAUUCCUCUACAGUUUCCUUCUGGGAUAGUAAUUUUAAAAGCAUUUUUCACUUAACGUGUUAUCCUUUGUCUAUUUUGCUCAUUUAGAGGAAAUGUUUUUGUUAGGAUGCACACUGGAGGCCAAGACUUCAAUGACUUUUAAAAUCGAGUGAUUUAGUGCUAUCAGUAACUUUUCUGUACCUUCUUCCUUUCUUCCCACCCUCCUCCAUUUAUUUACUUUUUAAAAAUUGGAAUGCUGACCGCCUGUAUUUGCUAUAUUCUAUUUUCCCACCCAAGUCUGCCUCAUUGUUCCUUCACAUACUGGUGGGUUUUUUCUUUAGGUGGGUUUUUUUUGGGUUGUUUUUUUUUCUCCUAAUACCAGCAGCAGCACCAAGUAAAAUGUGUGGUGCAACAGCAGGUUUUGUUGGCUGGGAGGUACAAUUGCAGUGCAAGUCUUGAUUAAAAUUAUGAGUUCUGAGGUCAGAGCAUAAUUUUUUGAUGCUGAGAACUAUGUCCAAUUUAGAUUUAGUUUCUAUACAGCCACAAAAAGUGAGUUUUUUUAUAUUGACCUUUGGACAUACAGUUUCUAAUCUGAACACCUCUACCCAAAUAUUCCAGUUCCCUGAAUGCUUUAUGGCACUAACAGGGAGAGGAGUGGUCCUUCCCAGCCCUGUCUGCUCAUUCCUGCCCUGGCACCAUCCCCCAUUGUGCUGACACAAGCAUUCAUGAGACUACACAGCGAACUAAAUUGGGGAACUAAUCCGUGUUAAAAGUAAUCAGUUCUUUUUUGUAGCUCCUUGCCACGUGUCUGUGUAGAGGCUUUUGCUGCAGAAGGGAGGGAGUGACCCAGGGAUGGGAAGGAGCAGCAGAGGGAGGGCAGGGCUGCAGCUUCAUUGUGGCCAUGCCAAGUUGUGCUGAUUUAGGAGAACUAAUGGCACUGCCGUGUAAAGAGUGGAUGUGUUUAGAACUUCCCAAUAAAUCAGUCAAAAGAGCAUCCCCUCGUGCACAAAAGCCUCUAUAUUUUUUUUCCACAUCUUCAGUGAGCCAUAUAUUCUGUGCUGUCUGUUUGAUGUAAAGGAACAAAGCACUUCAGAGUUGGAUGGCUGAAAUGUGGCAAACAGGUAGUUAAAAUGAAGCAGGCAGAUGUGGUACCAUGCUCGCAACACACAAUGUUUUACACCAAGUUUUCACAAAGGCUUUGAAUGGAAAAGUGCAAUUUAGGUGUAUAAGUGGGACUUGUACAUAAAUGGAGCAGAGAGUUUGUCUGAAGAACAAUUUAAGAUUAUGUGGUCACAGACAGAAUCAUACUGCAUUGGUGCAUCAGUACAGAAUGAACUGGUAAAGGGCACUUGUGAAUUAGGCUCUUCCAAACACCGUAAUAUUUGGCACCCUUUUAAAACAGUGCUUUAAUACCGUUCUGUUUAUGUGAAAAUUCUUCACUGAUGUUGGAGUGAAAUAAAACGAAAACUUUAUAAAACUGUAACAACA